rnacentral:rRNA from 1 species
GGGAUCUUGCGACAAUGGGCGAAAGCCUGACGCAGCAACACCGCGUGCGGGAGGACGGCCUUCGGGUUGUAAACCACUUUUCGGGGGGAAGAGGAAGGACGGUACCCCCGGAAGAAGUCUCGGCUAACUACGUGCCAGCAGCCGCGGUAAAACGUAGGAGGCGAGCGUUGUCCGGAAUCACUGGGCGUAAAGAGCUCGUAGGCGGUCUGUUAAGUCGGGUGUGAAAGCCCUCGGCUCAACCGAGGAAUUGCACUCGAUACUGGCAGGCUAGAGUCAAGCAGAGGGAAGUGGAAUUCCCGGUGUAGCGGUGAAAUGCGCAGAUAUCGGGAAGAACACCGGUGGCGAAGGCGGCUUCCUGGGCUUGUACUGACGCUGAGGAGCGAAAGCUAGGGGAGCGAA